rnacentral:lncRNA from 1 species
ACAUUAAAUUUUGCAUGGGGUGCGACACCCAUCAAAAUUUUGCCGCCGUUGUCGGGGACCAACGGUUCAGUUUUAGGUCUUUUGUUGUGUUAGUUUGUGUUGUGUUUUGUCUUGUGUUGUGAGUGUGAUGUUCUGCUUUGUGUGUUUGUCAUUGUGUGUUGCAUUUAGGUAUCUUUAGUUGCAUAUUUUCAUUGCAUUCUUCUUUCCCCCUUCUUUCUCCAUGUCUACCUAUUUUGAU